ACGGCUGCUCAGUAACACGUAGUCAACUUACCCUAUGGACGAGGAUAAUCUCGGGAAACUGAGCAUAAUACUCGAUAGAUCAUAAUGCCUGGAAUGGUUUAUGGUUGAAAUGAUUCGUCGCCAUAGGAUGGGACUGCGGCCUAUCAGCUUGUUGGUGAGGUAAUGGCCCACCAAGGCGAUUACAGGUACGGGCUCUGAGAGGAGAAGCCCGGAGAUGGGUACUGAGACAAGGACCCAGGCCCUAUGGGGCGCAGCAGGCGAGAAAACUUUGCAAUGUGCGAAAGCACGACAAGGUUAAUCCGAGUGAUUUCUGCUAAAGAAAUCUUUUGCAAGUCAUAAAACCACUAGUGAAUAAGGGGUGGGCAAGUUCUGGUGUCAGCCGCCGCGGUAAAACCAGCACCUCAAGUGGUCAGGAGGAUUAUUGGGCCUAAAGCAUCCGUAGCCGGCUCUGUAAGUUUUCGGUUAAAUCCAUGUGCUCAACGCAUGGGCUGCCGAAAAUACUGCAUAGCUAGGGAGUGGGAGAGGUAGACGGUACUCGGUAGGAAGGGGUAAAAUCCUUUGAUCUAUCGAUGACCACCUGUGGCGAAGGCGGUCUACCAGAACACGUUCGACGGUGAGGGAUGAAAGCUGGGGGAGCAAACCGGAUUAGAUACCCGGGUAGUCCCAGCUGUAAACGAUGCAGACUCGAUGAUGCAUUGGCAUAUAGCCAGUGCAGUGUCGCAGGGAAGCCGUUAAGUCUGCCGCCUGGGAAGUACGUACGCAAGUAUGAAACUUAAAGGAAUUGGCGGGGGAGCAG
rnacentral:rRNA from 1 species